UAUUUCACUCACCACCCCUGGGGCUCUACAAUCAGAUGGCAAAGCUAGCCAGGCCUGUGUCCUUCCUUUCAGGGUGCCAAGGUCCCCCAAGCCCCAGAUUCUUCAGGGAAAAAUCCAGCAAAGCCCACUCCUCCUGGAUGAAGUUCCAGCCACAUCUUCAAAGACCACCAAGCCGUGACACAUCCCAGAUAUGUGCAGAGGACAGGUGAGACUGACCUCACUGGGCAUCUAGACUCAAUUCAUGAGACUUCACAUUGAAGCAAUGUCGUCAUCUGGGGUAAAUACCUGUGAAAGUCGUUGUCUUGUGGCCACGGAAAACUAGGACCUGGAGACACAAAGAGUGAGGUUCUAAGCAGAAGUUUAAUAGGUUAAAGAAAGAGAUGAGCUCUCUGCUGCAGAGAGAGGCAUCCCGGAGAAGUGGGUUGCUGCUUCUCCAGUGAAAUACAGAGUUUUAUACAUGAACUUGAGGAGGCAAUGUCUGAUUUACAUAGGGCACAAAAGAUUGGUCAGACCAGGUAUACCAUUUGCAUAACAUGUGAGAAUCUGGCCACCCCCACCAUAAUCUUUUAUUAUGCAGAUGGGUUAUCCACCUGGCUGGUGCCAUGUUGCCUAUUCCUUUAGUGUACACAUGGUGACAAACAAAAGGGAUGAUGAAGCUUCCAGGUUGAACAGGUAUGACCCCGAGGUAGCCCUUUUCUGUUGGCACAGCUUUUGGCAUUCACCCGUGCAAGCUCCCAGCUUGCUUAUCUAUGUUUGCGGCCUGAUUUUUCAGGCUGCUCUCUGUUAGAAAAGAAAUGAUUUGGGGGCUGCUUUUUGUUAAAAGGAAAGCCUUGCCAAGGACUCCUUUACCCUCACUAUCUGCCUAAAUAAUUUCUUUCUAGCUCUUG